rnacentral:rRNA from 1 species
UACGGGGGGGGCAAGCGUUGUUCGGAAUUACUGGGCGUAAAGGGCUCGUAGGCGGCCAACUAAGUCAGACGUGAAAUCCCUCGGCUUAACCGGGGAACUGCGUCUGAUACUGGAUGGCUUGAGUUUGGGAGAGGGAUGCGGAAUUCCAGGUGUAGCGGUGAAAUGCGUAGAUAUCUGGAGGAACACCGGUGGCGAAGGCGGCAUCCUGGACCGACAUUGACGCUGAGGCGCGAAAGCGUGGGGAGCAAACAGG